GGAAGUAAAAGUCGUAACAAGGUCUCCGUAGGAGCACACAGUAAUGUGUCCCUCUGCAGCGAACUGAAGGAAGCCUUUGCAACCCCGCAAGGGGGUUCGCGACUCUAAACAAGGAACAGCAAGUAGCCCGCGAGGGCUGCAACACAAUCGAACUGCGGGGACAUCCUAAAGCCUUAGAGUACCAACCCGCGCCGCGAAAGCAGCCGGGGGCCCAUGUUAACCGCAUGGGAGAAGGUCACAACCUCUAAGGAUACGCAGCGCCUGCUCUGAGGGUGCUGCGACAUGGACGAUCCGCAGCGAAGCCCCUACGGCCGCCCUGGCUAUGGGGAACGUUCACAGACUAGGUGGUUGUGGGUAGGCGUCAAGCCUGCUUAAGAUAUAGUCGGGCUGCCCGGGAAACUGGGUGGGCAUUCGCAAAAGAUGCAUAGCUUAAGUGCCAUCGUAUGGCCGCUUCCAGGUGCUGAUCUGUCUCAGCAACAGCCUGCCAGCCCCUUAGCUAGGAAACCGCUCCGUAGGUGAACCUGCGGAGGGAUC
rnacentral:rRNA from 1 species